GACGAACGCUGGCGGCGUGCUUAACACAUGCAAGUCGAACGGUAAGGCCCUUCGGGGUACACGAGUGGCGAACGGGUGAGUAACACGUGGGUGAUCUGCCCUGCACUUCGGGAUAAGCCUGGGAAACUGGGUCUAAUACCGGAUAGGACCACUGCCUGCAUGGGUGGUGGUGGAAAGCUUUUGCGGUGUGGGAUGGGCCCGCGGCCUAUCAGCUUGUUGGUGGGGUGAUGGCCUACCAAGGCGACGACGGGUAGCCGGCCUGAGAGGGUGACCGGCCCCACUGGGACUGAGAUACGGCCCAGACUCCGACGGGAGGCAGCAGUGGGGAAUAUUGCACAAUGGGCGCAAGCCUGAUGCAGCGACGCCGCGUGAGGGAUGACGGCCUUCGGGUUGUAAACCUCUUUCAGCACCGACGAAGCGCAAGUGACGGUAGGUGCAGAAGAAGGACCGGCCAACUACGUGCCAGCAGCCGCCGCCG
rnacentral:rRNA from 1 species